rnacentral:rRNA from 1 species
CAAGCUACCAACGGUCUAUGGUGGAUGCCUAGGCACUAAGAGCCGAUGAAGGGCGUGGCAAGCAACGAAACUGCUCCGGUGAGCUGCAAGCAAGCUGGGACCCGGAGAUUCCCGAAUGGGGCAACCCGGCGCCGGUAACGCGGCGUCACCACCGCCUGAAUAAAAUAGGGCGGCUGGAGGCAAGCGGGCGAACUGAAACAUCUUAGUAGCCCGAGGAAAGGAAAGCAAUCGCGACUCCCCUAGUAGCGGCGAGCGAACGGGGAAGAGCCUAAACCCGACUGGUGUCAAGCCUGCAGGCGUUGCUGGUCGGGGGUCGCGGGAAGAGUCCGGAGGUGCUGCAGCCCUCCAGCCCGGAAGCUUCACCUAGCUGAAUGCGUCUGGAAAGACAAGCCGCAGAGGGUAAUAGCCCCGUAAGCGAAAGGUGAAGACUGGUUAAAUGCCCAGUCCCUGGCGACUCUCUCCCAAGUAGCACGGGACACGAGAUAUCCCGUGUGAAUCUGUGGGGACCAUCCCAUAAGGCUAAGUACUCUUAGUGACCGAUAGUGGACAAGUACCGUGAGGGAAAGGUGAAAAGAACCCCGGUGAGGGGAGUGAAAUAGAAC